rnacentral:lncRNA from 1 species
CCUCCCAGGCUGCUGGGAUUAUAGGUGUGUGCCACCAUACCCAGCAAGAUGUUCUUAAAACAAUCUUUUUUGGGAGGGUUCUAGAGAUUGAACACAGGGGUACUUUAUCACUGAUCUACACCCAUAGCCCUUUUUAUUUAUUUUUUAAAUUCUGUGAUAGGGUCUUAUUAAGUUGCCCAGGCUAUCCUUGUGAUUUUUCUGUCUUGGCCUCCCAAGUUUCUGGGAUUACAGUUGUGUGCCACCAUGCCUGGCAUUCUUAAACACUCUUUAAUGUUUCCUUAUCUCCUGGUUAUAGAUACUUAUUAUAAUCAUUAGUAUAUCGUAUUGCAUUCAAAUUAUUUGAGUACCUUUUAGCAUUAUCAACAGAGCUGUCUUUUGUUACUUUUGCUUUUCUCUGCCCAAAUAUAAUGCCAGAUAUAUUAAAAGUUGUCAGUUAAUUUUAUCGCUUAAGAAAUAAUGUCAAGGCCAUGCAUGUGGGCAUGCUUAUGAUUCCAGUGACUUAGAAGGCAGAAGUAGGAGGAUUGCCUAGUUCAAGGUCAACCUGGGCAGUUUAGCCAGACCCUGUCUCAAAAUAAAGUAAGAAAAGGUCUGGGGAUGUUGCCCAAUUUUUUUUUGUUGUUGUUGUUUGUUUGUUUGUUUUGUAUUUUUUUGGGUACCUGGGAUUGAACUUAGGGGCACUUGAUCACUGAGCCACAUCCCCAGCCUUAUUUUGUAUUUUAUUUAGAGACAGGGUCUCACUGAGUUGCUUAGAUCCUGGCUUUUACAAUCCUCCUGCCUCAGCUUCCCAUGCUGUUGGGAUUAUAGAUGUGCACCAUCAUGCUCAGCUUGUUGCUCAGUUUUAGUGUGGUCCCUGAGUUCAAACCCCUUUACUGCAAUCAAUCAAUAAAUAAAUAAAAAGAAGGAAGAAAUAAUGUUGAGUGCUUUAAAGUAAUUUAAGUUAUCAUUGAGAUAGAAUAAGUUGUAUAUUUUAAAAGUGUUUGUUUUGUUUUGACAUAUGUUUGUCUCACUAAACCAUCACCAUAAGCAAGAUGCCAAAAUUGCCCAUCAACUUCAAAAGUUUUCUGGCUCCUCAUUUAUAAUUCACUUUUCCUUCCAUUCCUGUUUCCAAGCAGCCACUGAUUUGUUUCCUGUCUGUCAUGAUAUUAAUUGGAAACUGUUCUGUUGGUCUCGGUUUUAUGAAAAAGAACUAUGAAAAUUAUUUUCUUGAAUGUUAGAAUUCAUCUAGGCUUAGAG